rnacentral:misc_RNA from 1 species
GAUGAAGAACGUAGUGAAAUGCGAUAAGUAAUGUGAAUUGCAGAAUUCAGUGAAUCAUCGAAUCUUUGAACGCACAUUGCGCCCGCCAGUAUUCUGGCGGGCAUGCCUGUUCGAGCGUCAUUUCAACCCUCAGGACCCUUUGGACCUGGUGUUGGGGCUCGGCCGCUACCCCGCGGCCGUCCCCGAAAGAUAGUGGCGGUCUCGCUGUAGCGUCCUCUGCGUAGUAAUUACACCUCGCACUGGAACGCGGCGCGGCCACGCCGUUAAACACCCCACUUCUCAAGGUUGACCUCGGAUCAGGUAGGAAUACCCGCUGAACUUAAGCAUAUCAAUAAGCGGAGGA